GUCCCCAUUCCGGACUUCCCGGCCAUUUUAACGAGUUCAGACUAAACAGUUUCUUUAGCAAUACAUAUUUGUCACUUGUAACAAAUUUAGAAAGACAGGAGAUCUUUGGUGAGCCAAGCGAUCACAAAUACUGAUGUGGAGGUCUCGCUUCCCAUGUUUUUAUUUUCGGCUGUAAAGGACUAAACACUGGAGAAAAUAGCACCAUUUCUUCCACUAUCUCGACUUAAGGACAAACCUGAUCCCAAACUCUUCGCGCAGCAGAAAUAAAAGUCAAUCAACAAUUCUCACCAGCUGUGCCACCAUGUCCCAUGGUGGGGAAGCCACACAGGUCAUCUGAGCAUCCAAGCUGCUUUUCAAGAAAUCUCCAAUUCCAGGAAGAAUGAGAACAUCAUUCUGUUGUGGGGUGCUCAUCAGAGAAGACUUCUCGGACAUGGGUUUUAGCCAAUAGAAAAUCUUUCUUAGCUGACCAAUGACUGACUACACUGUGUGUUCCAGAUCACGGUGUAGCACUGAGCCUUUCUCAGGGUUGAGCCUUUAAGCACAAAAAUCAUAGCCCAGGUUGACAUACUUCAGUUAUCAAGAACAGUUAGCCAGAAGCAGAACACCGAAGCCAGAAAACAAGGGUGGUACUUCUAGGGACUCUCCCAGAACUAUGGACUUUGAUGAAUUGAGUUUUUGUUUUAGUUUUGGCAGGUAGUGCCACCUACUACAUACAGCCUGAAUGGCAUUCAAUUAGGGAGUCAGCUGUGCUAAGGUCUCAGGGCCUGUUACAUUCCAAAGUUGCAGAACUAAAGAAUGUGUCUGUGAGAACAAAGCUCACCUGGUAGAUGAUUGUGGAAUUCCAGAACAAACGUGUGUAAAGAAUUCAUGUUUCUAUUUCAUUCUUCCUAUUUUCCAGAUGUUAUUCUACUGACAGGAAAGAAAGGCUAUGUGAAAGGCCCCUUUCUGAGCCCUAGUAAUUGCUUGUUAGUAAUCAUGAAAGCAUCAUGAGUUCAUGAAUGUUUCUUCUUUAAAAUUAUUAUAAUACCAUUUGUAUUCAUAAAUUAAGUGUAAAACAUGAUAAUAGUCAAAAGUAUUCAUAUUCCUAA
rnacentral:lncRNA from 1 species